rfam:Eubacterium sp. 68-3-10 unitig_0:quiver, whole genome shotgun sequence.
ACAAUGAUACUUCAAUUUAGUCACAGCCCUGCAGGGAUGCGGGAUCACGCAAUGAGAAUUGCUUCGGGGGACCGGAGGGGUUAGAGACCCAUGA